rnacentral:piRNA from 1 species
UGGACAUCACUGGGCCUAAAUUCACUGGGC